UAACACGUGAGUGACCUGCCUUUUAGACUGGAACAACUUACCGAAAGGUGAGCUAAUGCCGGAUGAGUUAUAUAAGUGCAUGUUUAUAUAGGAAAAGUUGGGGAGACCUGACGCUGAAAGAUGGACUCGCGUCCCAUUAGCUAGUUGGUAGGGUAAUGGCCUACCAAGGCGACGAUGGGUAGCCGGCCUGAGAGGGUGGCCGGCCACACUGGGACUGAGACACGGCCCAGACUCCUACGGGAGGCAGCAGUGGGGAAUUUUGCGCAAUGCUCGUAAGAGUGACGCAGCGACGCCGCGUGAAUGACGAAGGCCUUCGGGUCGUAAAGUUCUUUCGACAGGGAAGAAAAUGCCUAUAAGUAACUGUGUAUGUAUUGACGGUACCUGUAUAAGCAGCCCCGGCUAACUCCGUGCCAGCAGCCGCGGUAAUACGGAGGGGGCGAGCGUUGUUCGGAGUGACUGGGCGUAAAGAGCACGUAGGCGGUGUUGUAAGUCAUUAGUCAAAGACUAGAGCUCAACUUUAGCAAGGCUAGUGAUACUAUAAUACUAGAGUAUCAGAGAGGAUUGCAGAAUUCCUGGUGUAGCGGUGAAAUGCGUAGAUAUCAGGAGGAAUACCGUUAGCGAAGGCGGCAAUCUGGCUGGAAACUGACGCUGAGGUGCGAAAGCGUGGGUAGCAAACAGGAUUAGAUACCCUGGUAGUCCACGCUGUAAACGAUGGAUGCUAGGUGU
rnacentral:rRNA from 1 species